CCUACGGGCGGCAGCAGUGGGGAAUAUUGGACAAUGGGGGGAACCCUGAUCCAGCCAUGCCGCGUGUGUCAAGAAGGCCCUCGGGUUGUAAAGCACUUUCAGUGAGGAAGAACGCCUGGUGGUUAAUACCCAUCAGGAAAGACAUCACUCACAGAAGAAGCACCGGCUAACUCCGUGCCAGCAGCCGCGGUAAUACGGAGGGUGCGAGCGUUAAUCGGAAUUACUGGGCGUAAAGCGCGCGUAGGUGGCUUGAUAAGCCGGUUGUGAAAGCCCCGGGCUCAACCUGGGAACGGCAUCCGGAACUGUCAAGCUAGAGUGCAGGAGAGGAAGGUAGAAUUCCCGGUGUAGCGGUGAAAUGCGUAGAGAUCGGGAGGAAUUCCAGUGGCGAAGGCGGCCUUCUGGACUGACACUGACACUGAGGUGCGAAAGCGUGGGUAGCAAACAGGAUUAGAUACCCUAGUAGUC
rnacentral:rRNA from 1 species